GACAGAGGAUGCAAGCGUUAUCCGGAAUGAUUGGGCGUAAAGCGUCUGUAGGUGGCUUUUAAGUCUGCCGUCAAAUCCCAGGGCUUAACCCUGGACAGGCGGUGGAAACUACCAAGCUGGAGUACGGUAGGGCAGAGGGAAUUUCCGGUGGAGCGGUGAAUGCGUAGAGAUCGGAAAGAACACCAACGGCGAAAGCACUCUGCUGGCCGACACUGACACUGAGAGACGAAGCUAGGGAGCGAAUGG
rnacentral:rRNA from 1 species